UACAGAGGGUGCGAGCGUUGUCCGGAAUCACUGGGCGUAAAGGGCGCGUAGGUGGCGACCCAAGUCGAUGGUGAAAGCUCGCCGCUCAACGGCGAGUCGGCCACCGAUACUGGGUUGCUCGAGCACUGUAGAGGCUAAUGGAAUUCCGGGUGUAGCGGUGGAAUGCGUAGAGAUCCGGAAGAACACCGGUGGCGAAGGCGGCACCCUGGGUCUGACCUGACACUGAUCCGCGACAGCAUGGGGAGCGAACGGG
rnacentral:rRNA from 1 species